UACGAAGGGGGCUAGCGUUGCUCGGAAUCACUGGGCGUAAAGCGCACGUAGGCGGAUUGCUAAGUCAGGGGUGAAAUCCUGGAGCUCAACUCCAGAACUGCCUUUGAUACUGAGGAUCUUGAGUUCGGGAGAGGUGAGUGGAACUGCGAGUGUAGAGGUGAAAUUCGUAGAUAUUCGCAAAGAACACCAGUGGCGAAGGCGGCUCACUGGCCCGAUACUGACGCUGAGGCACGAAAGCGUGGGGAGCAACAGGGAUUAAG
rnacentral:rRNA from 1 species